rnacentral:rRNA from 1 species
GAGUUUGAUCUUGGCUCAGAACGAGCGCUGGCGGCAUGCCUAACACAUGCAAGUCGAACGAGACCUUCGGGUCUAGUGGCGCACGGGUGCGUAACGCGUGGGAAUCUGCCCUUGGGUUCGGAAUAACAGUUAGAAAUGACUGCUAAUACCGGAUGAUGACGUAAGUCCAAAGAUUUAUCGCCCAGGGAUGAGCCCGCGUAGGAUUAGCUAGUUGGUGAGGUAAAGGCUCACCAAGGCGACGAUCCUUAGCUGGUCUGAGAGGAUGAUCAGCCACACUGGGACUGAGACACGGCCCAGACUCCUACGGGAGGCAGCAGUGGGGAAUAUUGGACAAUGGGCGAAAGCCUGAUCCAGCAAUGCCGCGUGAGUGAUGAAGGCCUUAGGGUUGUAAAGCUCUUUUACCCGGGAUGAUAAUGACAGUACCGGGAGAAUAAGCUCCGGCUAACUCCGUGCCAGCCGCCGCGGUAAC